GCUGGACUGGCAGAAAGUAAGUGCGAUAAGUUUAGGUCUUAUACAAUGGGUACAAACCCGUCCAGCA
rnacentral:tRNA from 1 species